CAGCCGCCUCCCUUGCGCCCUCCAAUCCAUUCUCCACACCACAGCUGACUGACCUCUUAAAACAGGUGCCGGCGUUGUUCCUGCCGUUGGUCCAGGGCCUGCUUGGCCUUCCAGAGGAGCACGCAGAGAGAGAGGAAAAGGAAGAAGCAGGAGAAGAAGACAGAGAAGAAGACAAACAGGUCGAUGUGAGCCUGGUCCUGCCGGAAGAAAAGUAGGCCCUGCGAGUCGGCUGAGCCAUUGGCGCCGGGCCCACUCGGGUCUCCCACGCCUAGGAGCAACAGCCCUAGGUCAUCAAAAGGCGGCUGCUCUUUUGGGGAAACCUGCCUGAGAAUGAAGCCAACAGAGAGAAAACAGAGUCAAGAUACAGAGAAAGACUCCUGAUGACACUGGGUGAGCACCUGGAUCCAGCCAUUCCUGAAAGUAGACUCUGGACCUUAGUUUUGAGGUCCAUUUUCUUUUCUGCUUAAGCUACUAUGAGAUGGUUUUCUAGCACUUACAGUCUUUACCUUGCAA